rnacentral:rRNA from 1 species
GAUGAACGCUGGCGGCGUGCUUAACACAUGCAAGUCGAACGGAGCGCCCAUGAAGGAGUUUUCGGACAACUGAUUGGGUUGCUUAGUGGCGGACGGGUGAGUAACGCGUGAGUAACCUGCCUUGGAGUGGGGAAUAACAGCUGGAAACAGCUGCUAAUACCGCAUGAUGCAGUUGGGUCGCAUGGCUCUGACUGCCAAAGAUUUAUCGCUCUGAGAUGGACUCGCGUCUGAUUAGCUAGUUGGUGAGGUAACGGCUCACCAAGGCGACGAUCAGUAGCCGGACUGAGAGGUUGGCCGGCCACAUUGGGACUGAGACACGGCCCAG